AUUGAACGCUGGCGGCAGGCCUAACACAUGCAAGUCGAACGCAGUGGGGACGGGUGAGUAACACGUGGGUAACCUCCCAUCAGAGGGGAUAACACUUGGAAACAGGUGCUAAACCGAUACUGAUGGAUGGACCCGCGGUGCAUUAGCUAGUUGGUGAGGUAACGGCUCACCAAGGCCACGAUGCAUAGCCGACCGGAGAGGAUGACCAGCCACAAGGGAACGGAGAAACGGUCCAGACUCCUACGGGAGGAAGCAGUGGGGAAUAUUGCACAAUGGGCGCAAGCCUGAUGCAGCCAUGCCGCGUGUAUGAAGAAGGCCUUCGGGUUGUAAAGUACGUUCAGCGGGGAGGCGUUACCCGCAGAAGAAGCACCGGCUAACUCCGUGCCAGCAGCCGCGGUAAUUC
rnacentral:rRNA from 1 species